AUCUCUGUUGUAUGCAGCUUCCUGCAUAGGGUCUUCAUCCCCAAAAAAAACCAUGGCGGCCACUGAAAUAGCUAGGCAAGCGGGAGAAGGUGCUCGGGCUGUUCCUCUUGCUGGCCAUGUCGGCUUCGACAGUAUGCCAGACCAGCUGGUCAAUAAGUCCGUCAACCACGGGUUCUGCUUCAACAUCCUUUGCGUUGGGGAGACGGGCCUCGGCAAGUCCACCCUCAUGGACACGCUGUUUAACACCAAGUUUGAGGGGGAGCCCACCCAGCACAACCAGCCGGGCGUGCAGCUCAAGUCCAACACCUACGAGCUCCAGGAGAGCAACGUGCGCCUCAAGCUGACCGUGGUCAACACCGUCGGCUUCGGCGACCAGAUAAACAAGGAGGACAGUUACAAGUCCAUUGUGGAGUUCAUUGACACCCAGUUUGAGGCCUAUCUGCAGGAGGAGCUGAAAAUAAAGCGCACGCUACAUAGCUACCACGACACCCGUAUUCACGCCUGCCUAUAUUUUAUUGCACCCACUGGACACUCCCUCAAAUCCCUUGACCUGGUGACUAUGAAGAAGUUGGACAGCAAGGUGAACAUCAUCCCCAUCAUCGCCAAAUCAGACGCCAUCUCCAAGAGUGAACUGACCAAGUUCAAAAUCAAGAUCACCAGUGAGCUCGUCAGCAACGGCGUCCAGAUCUACCAGUUUCCCACCGAUGAUGAGACAGUCGCCGAGAUUAACGCCACCAUGAAUGGCCAUUUGCCGUUCGCCGUGGUGGGCAGCACGGAGGAGGUGAAGAUCGGCAACAAGAUGGUGAAAGCGCGGCAGUACCCCUGGGGCACGGUGCAGGUGGAGAAUGAGAACCACUGUGACUUUGUGAAGCUGAGGGAGAUGCUGAUCCGGGUCAACAUGGAGGACCUGCGGGAACAGACGCACACGCGCCACUACGAGCUGUACCGCCGCUGCAAGCUGGAGGAGAUGGGUUUCAAGGACACGGACCCUGACUGCAAGCCCUUCAGUCUGCAGGAGACCUAUGAGGCCAAGAGGAAUGAGUUCAUGGGGGAGCUGCAGAAGAAGGAGGAGGAGAUGAGACAGAUGUUUGUCCAGAGAGUGAAGGAAAAGGAGGCAGAGCUUAAGGAAGCAGAGAAAGAGCUGCACGAGAAGUUCGACCGGCUAAAAAAGCUGCACCAGGACGAGAAAAAGAAGCUGGAGGACAAGAAGAAGUCCCUGGACGAUGAGCUGAACGGCUUCAAGCAGAAGAAGACAGCUGCCGAGCUGCUGCAGUCCCAGGCCCAGCAGGCAGGGGGAUCCACCACACUGAAGAGGGACAAGGAGAGGAAAAACUGACGUGAGUCCCGUCACCGGCCCCCGUUAGAAAGUACGAAGAAACUUGCACUGAAUAAGUUCAGGAUUCCUGUAGAAAAGUGCUCCCUCCCUCAGCCAGCUGGGAAUGAGUCCCCCCUGGCAGUGCCAUGCUGUUCUUUGUGCCCUCCCUGGCCUCUUCCCCCUUUUCCCAUUCCAAACACCCGCCCCUACUCUUUGAAAGAAUUCAGCCAUUACUGUGAACGAGGAACCUUGACUCAAAUGCAACCUUUUUGUGUUAAAUUUUUUUACAAGCCAUGAGUCUACGUUUGCUUGUUGUUGUUGUUGUUGUUUUUUUUUUAUGUUGGAAAGUAGAUGUUCUCUUUUUACAUUUUUAAAAUUUUUAAUUUUAGUUGUUGACAUGUUCCGCAUGACUGGGUGCGCUUUUCAACUGAACACAGGCAGCUGCUGUUCUUACUGGCAGAUGUUUGUGGAGGCUAAGGUGAAAAGACUAUCAGCUGUCGUCUGACUGGGCAAGGGUUGUGUCUUCUCUCCUAGGGUGACCUAAAUAGCCCCCGACAGUUAAACGUCGGAGUGCAUCGUUAUCUUGUUGACACACGACGCAUCCAGUUAUUACUGAACACGAGAACAGCCACCACACAUUAGGAGAUAUAGCCUGGUCCAUGUCAGUGAGUUAUGGAGUUGGCAUCGUAGUAAAACAAAUUGCCAUCCAGGCUAUCUUGUGAGAGCAAUCUUGUGCUAAUGGUCGACGGCUGAUGUUAUUCCAUCUUAGCCUAGUGCAUGUGCAGACAUUAAUGCUUUUUUUAUGCCUGUUCGCAGUACAUCAUUUUUUUAUACAUGCUAUCUACAUAUACCUACAUGUUUCCUUUUCACAUUUGAAACGUGAUUUUGUAUAUCUCCAGUGAACCUGUGAUUUAUUUUAUUCCACGUAAAAGCACAUAAUAAACAACUUAAUCACAUAAUAGUUCAGUAGGGGUCAGUAUUGCACUUGUAUCAGUGUUACACAAAAAAAGCUUUAUCUCAAAAGUAAAUAAAGGGCCAAUUUCAACAAAUGUCAACUGUGGGCACGGUUAUUGUGUAUGGAAAAAUGGAAUGAGGCAAUAUUUGAAUGAUGCAGUGUACGAGUGAGUUGUGCACAGGUUUGGUCUAGACACCUUAUAAUCCUCAUUCGAGGGCUUUAUAUUUAUCACACUAUUGUUAUUGACAAAACAACUCAUGCUGAGCAAAAUUGUCUGCAAAUGUCGUUGUUUGUGUUUUGGGGUAUGUUUUCAGUCUCUACAUUGAAUAUGGGAUGUCGAUCAGAAAGAAAUGUUUUUAGAACCCCCCACCCCAUCUCCAAAACCACGUCUUUAUGUCCUGGAUUAGUAUGAUUGAUAGGCCUCUGUGCUGUGGUGGAUGGGGGUGGGGCUAACCACUCAAAUGUCCACAGAUACAGGCAUUUCACUGUGGUCUAAUUGUAUUGAACCAAAUCGUCGACAUGUCCUUUACAGGGGUAGGGUAGAUUUGGUUUACAACUUCUCACAAUCCCUUCUCAAGUGGCUCUGUCUUAAUGUUUCUGGGAACUAUCUGUCGUCCAAUGUGCUAUCGGCUGCCUUUGUGUGGUGUAUCAUUCAUACAAGCCCUGAUUGAAUGCCUCUGCUCACUGCUAUCUAUGUAUUUACCUUUCCUUUGCAGUAAUCCCUGGCUCUGCACUGAGUAGGUGCUUCCACCCUCAAGCUUUGCUAAGGGACCAAGCUUUGUGGGUAGCGGGUACCCCAAGGCCAAGGAGAGCCAUUGAGGACCCCCACUUUUCUGUGUUAAAAAACAAAACACGAGUCUGCUCUAUGUAUUAAUGAAAGGAGAACCUCCUUAUCUGUGUCCUUCUGUGGAUCUAACCGUACGUGCUUAAUGUGUGGCUAAAUGUCUUGCCCAUGGCUAUGCUUUCUUGUUCUGUCUUGUUUUUGCUGUGUUGGCUUUGAUGACUAAUAUCAACCUUUUGCUUUUGUAGGGAUAGACAUUUGUGGACAACGUGUUGUGCACUUCACUUUGUAGUCUUUCCAUCCACACUAUAUUUAAUAUUGUCCAUGUGUGAUUUAUUAACUGCCACUGAAUACUUUUUUUGGAUUUUCAGAGGACAUUAUACCUGCUGCGAGCAGUUCUCAGUAAGACUUGUCCCAAUGAAAGGGGAUAAAGCUAUUUAUUUAGUGUUUUAUAUCUAUGUUGUACUAAAAUCUAACUAGCUAUUGUACGCUAUUGUUUAAGUUGUUAUUUUUUACCUCAAAACACUGUCCGUUUAUUUGUAAUGCAGUUAUUUGAAGAACAGUGGCAAAUAUACAUGUCUUAGGAAAACCCAAAUAUUACUGUCAUGAAAUACUGUCAGUAAAGGCUUGUUUCUUAUUAUAAUGAACCUUGUCUUGUGGUAGGCAUUGUUGCUAUCUCUGACUGCUUGGGCAUCUCUUGUAACCUUGCAUUUGUCUCUUUCUCUCUCUAGCUUCUUUUAAUCUGUCUUGGCCACCUGUCUGAAGAGGGGAUUGCAGCUUCGACAAGAACUAAGCACCCAUUUCCUCUUCCUGUCUUUUCUCGCCUUUUCAACCUAUUUUAACUUCCUUCUCAUUUGCUUGGUUGAACAUGGCCUUAUGUGGGCUUCACAUGGUAUUUUUGGAUAGCAAAUUUACGUUUUACCACCUACUCAUGGUAAACUUUGGCCAGAGGGAGUCCUUCACUUCAUAUUAUUCAGAUAUCUUGGUGUAUGGAUGAACAAAGAUUUGCUCAGGUAGGAUAAAACACAAUGGUUCUAGAGAAAGAUGCUGAAUAAAAUCAACGUUUGU